GCAUUCUGAACAAGCUGAAGACUUCUUAAGGAACUCUGAGGACACGCUGCUAACAAGGAGUUAGAGUAAUCCAGCCUCGACGUAACAAACGCAUGGAUGAGUGUUUCAGUGCGGAAUAUCCCAUUAAUUCCCCACAGGACCGGACCGUGGGGAACAUGACACCCGGCCAAAUGACUGAGGAUUUGCCAUGUCAUAUUUAGACCCACAUCAGUGUGGCGGCACCAAGAGAGGAAAGUGAAAAUGGGAAAAGGAGCCUUUUAAUCAUCGAUGUGAUAAUACCAUCAGACGACAAAGCCACCACCAAA